CUGAGGUUGAGAGAAAGGAAAUAACUUGUCCCAGGCCAGCAGCUGAGUCACGACCAAGGCACUUCGUUCUUCAUCUAGUGCGGCCUGUGCAGCCAAAAUGCCUUCCCAUGAGCUUGCCACAUAACCAUGGGUGGCUCACUGGACUUUCAUCUGGGCAAAGAGAAGGGUGUGCUGACACUACUCAUGGCUCCUUCAUCUGGGACCUACCCAAAUCCCGUGGCUUUGCUCACAAUCAUCUGAUCCUGUUGUGCCCAAGAUGCCUGCUCCCAUGCCUGGAUACCUGCUGCAGCUGCUCCAAGCCAGGACCCUGCCAAUCUGUCAUUUUAGAUCUUCAGCUCUGGGUUGGUCUUCCAGGUGCCUCUGCCUCCCAAGGAAACCCAAGGAACUCCGCCAGAAAGGGAAUGCCUAAAAGAGCAGCAGUGGGGACUGUAGGGGUCCUCCUGCCUGCCCCUUUGUUAUCCAGAGUGGGGCCCUGACUUGCCUGAAGUCACACAGGGACUCCGGUAUUCCAAUCCUCGGCCUUAAGAUCGCUGCUAUCCGGUUACUUCUAUCUAAAAGCCCUAGAGAAGUUUCGGGAGACACUCAAAGGGCCCUUGUCUGGUUUCCAGGCUGACCAACUCUAAUGGAGAAAAAGCUCACUCACUAAGCAUACAUCAAAUGCCAGGCGUAUAGAAUCCUUCAGUGGAGGGAUCAUU
rnacentral:lncRNA from 10 species